GAUGAAGAACGCAGCGAAAUGCGAUAAGUAAUGUGAAUUGCAGAAUUCAGUGAAUCAUCGAAUCUUUGAACGCACCUUGCGCCCUUUGGCUAUUCCGAAGGGCAUGCCUGUUUGAGUAUCAUGAACACCUCAACUCUCAUGGCUUGCCAUGAUGAGCUUGGACUAUGGGGGUCUUGCUGGCCUGUGGUCGGCUCCUCUCAAAUGAAUCAGCUUGCCAGUGUUUGGUGGCAUCACAGGUGUGAUAACUAUCUACGCUUGUGGUUUUCCACCAGGUAACCUUCAGCAAUGGAGGUUCGCUGGGGCUCAUAAAUGUCUCUCCUCAGCGAGGACAGCUCUUUGAACGUUUGAUCUCAAAUCAGGUAGGACUACCCGCUGAACUUAAGCAUAUCAAUAAGCGGAGGA
rnacentral:misc_RNA from 1 species